UACGUAGGUGGCAAGCGUUGGCCGGCAUUAUUGGGCGUAAAGCGCGCGCAGGCGGCCUCUUAAGUCUGAUGUGAAAGCCCCCGGCUCAACCGGGGGGGGCCAUUGGAAACCGGGAGGCUCGAGUAUAGGAGAGAAGAGUGGAAUUCGACGGGUAGCGGUGAAAUGCGUAGAGAUGUGGAGGAGCACCAGUGGCGAAGGCGGCUCUUUGGCCUAUAACUGACGCUGAGGCGCGAAAGCGUGGGGAGCAAACAGG
rnacentral:misc_RNA from 1 species